ACGUGUGUUAGCGCAGUGGGUUAGCGCAGCGUCAGUGCUGAAGCCCGAGGGUUGUGGGUUCGAGCCCCAGCAGGUGUA
rnacentral:tRNA from 1 species